GCCAGUAACUAUCAAUGGAUGGGCUUAUCUGGCGUCUAAAAGGAUUGUGUUUGAGAAAAGAACAAAUGUAAGAUAGACGUCCAGUUUGCCAGGUACCGAGCUUACCACUACCAUGUUUCUUGGGUGUUUUUUAAUUUUGACUUCCUGUUUUUCUUCUGGUCUAACUGCAUCUCUAUAUAAAGAUAUAUAUCACAAAAUCGAACAAAAUAGCCAUUUAAAAGACGCCAUUUGGAGGAGUUACCAAGAUUUGGGUUAUGGUAACUCCCACUUCCGUAUGGCGACGCCAUCUUGGUGGGACCUCGAUUUGGAUGACAUAUUUAAUCAGAUACACGAUAGCAUCAAAGGCAAGUAUGGCGAAAUUCCCUUGGCACUUUUACAACUGCUAAAUAAUAUUGCUGGUUGGUCGAGCGAAUCCGCAGCAGAUCUGCCUACGAAAGAACAGAGAUCAGACCCAGUCCCAGAACGCACAGACUUCAGUUUGGAAGACAUUUUUAACAAGAUUAAUGAUUUUAUCAAAGGUUAUGCCACAUCAAAUUAUUUAUCGUUUUUAAUAAAAAGAGAAGCUGCCAACAAAAACAUGGA